UUAAUUGAAGAGUUUGAUCAUGGCUCAGAUUGAACGCUGGCGGCAGGCCUAACACAUGCAAGUCGAGCGGCAGCACAAAGGAGUUUACUCCUGAGGUGGCGAGCGGCGGACGGGUGAGUAAUGCCUAGGGAUCUGCCCAGUCGAGGGGGAUAACAGUUGGAAACGACUGCUAAUACCGCAUACGCCCUACGGGGGAAAGGAGGGGACCUUCGGGCCUUCCGCGAUUGGAUGAACCUAGGUGGGAUUAGCUAGUUGGUGAGGUAAUGGCUCACCAAGGCGACGAUCCCUAGCUGUUCUGAGAGGAUGAUCAGCCACACUGGGACUGAGACACGGCCCAGACUCCUACGGGAGGCAGCAGUGGGGAAUAUUGCACAAUGGGGGAAACCCUGAUGCAGCCAUGCCGCGUGUGUGAAGAAGGCCUUCGGGUUGUAAAGCACUUUCAGUAGGGAGGAAAGGGUGAGUCUU
rnacentral:rRNA from 1 species